UGGGGAAUUUUGGACAAUGGGCGAAAGCCUGAUCCAGCAAUGCCGCGUGUGUGAAGAAGGCCUUCGGGUUGUAAAGCACUUUUGUCCGGAAAGAAAUCCUUGGCUCUAAUACAGUCGGGGGAUGACGGUACCGGAAGAAUAAGCACCGGCUAACUACGUGCCAGCAGCCGCGGUAAUACGUAGGGUGCAAGCGUUAAUCGGAAUUACUGGGCGUAAAGCGUGCGCAGGCGGUUUGCUAAGACCGAUGUGAAAUCCCCGGGCUCAACCUGGGAACUGCAUUGGUGACUGGCAGGCUAGAGUAUGGCAGAGGGGGGUAGAAUUCCACGUGUAGCAGUGAGAUGCGUAGAGAUGUGGAGGAAUACCGAUGGCGAAGGCAGCCCCCUGGGCCAAUACUGACGCUCAUGCACGAAAGCGUGGGGAGCAAAACAGGAUUAGAUACCCUGGUAGUCCACGCCCUAAAACGAUGUCAACUAGUUGUUGGGGAUUCAUUUCCUUAGUAACGUAGCUAACGCGUGAAGUUGACCGCCUGGGGAGUACGGUCGCAAGAUUAAAACUCAAAGGAAUUGACGGGGUCAUAGCUGUUUCCU
rnacentral:rRNA from 1 species